GGGACACGUGGUAUCCUGUCUGAAUAUGGGGGGACCAUCCUCCAAGGCUAAAUACUCCUGACUGACCGAUAGUGAACCAGUACCGUGAGGGAAAGGCGAAAAGAACCCCGGCGAGGGGAGUGAAAAAGAACCUGAAACCGUGUACGUACAAGCAGUGGGAGCACGCUUAGGCGUGUGACUGCGUACCUUUUGUAUAAUGGGUCAGCGACUUAUAUUCUGUAGCAAGGUUAACCGAAUAGGGGAGCCGAAGGGAAACCGAGUCUUAACUGGGCGUUAAGUUGCAGGGUAUAGACCCGAAACCCGGUGAUCUAGCCAUGGGCAGGUUGAAGGUUGGGUAACACUAACUGGAGGACCGAACCGACUAAUGUUGAAAAAUUAGCGGAUGACUUGUGGCUGGGGGUGAAAGGCCAAUCAAACCGGGAGAUAGCUGGUUCUCCCCGAAAGCUAUUUAGGUAGCGCCUCGUGAAUUCAUCUCCGGGGGUAGAGCACUGUUUCGGCAAGGGGGUCAUCCCGA
rnacentral:rRNA from 2 species